rnacentral:misc_RNA from 1 species
GAUGAAGAACGUAGCGAAAUGCGAUACGUAAUGUGAAUUGCAGAAUUCAGUGAAUCAUCGAGUCUUUGAACGCACAUUGCGCCCCCUGGUAUUCCGGGGGGCAUGCCUGUCCGAGCGUCAUUGCUGCCCUCAAGCACGGCUUGUGUGUUGGGCCUCCGUCCUCCUCCCGGGGGACGGGCCCGAAAGGCAGCGGCGGCACCGCGUCCGGUCCUCGAGCGUAUGGGGCUUCGUCACCCGCUCUUGUAGGGCCGGCCGGCGCUUGCCGACACAUCAAUCUUUUUUCCAGGUUGACCUCGGAUCAGGUAGGGAUACCCGCUGAACUUAAGCAUAUCAAUAAGCGGAGGA